rnacentral:rRNA from 1 species
AUUGAACGCUGGCGGCAGGCCUAACACAUGCAAGUCGAACGGUAACAGGAAGAAGCUUGCUUCUUUGCUGACGAGUGGCGGACGGGUGAGUAAUGUCUGGGAAACUGCCUGAUGGAGGGGGAUAACUACUGGAAACGGUAGCUAAUACCGCAUAACGUCGCAAGACUAAAGAGGGGGACCUUCGGGCCUCUUGCCAUCGGAUGCGCCCAGAUGGGAUUAGCUAGUAGGUGGGGUAACGGCUCACCUAGGCGACGAUCCCUAGCUGGUCUGAGAGGAUGACCAGCCACACUGGAACUGAGACACGGUCCAGACUCCUACGGGACGCAGCAGUGGGGAAUAUUGCACAAUGGGCGCAAGCCUGAUGCAGCCAUGCCGCGUGUAUGAAGAAGGCCUUCGGGUUGUAAAGUACUUUCAGCGGGGAGGAAGGGAGUAAAGUUAAUACCUUUGCUCAUUGACGUUACCCGCAGAAGAAGCACCGGCUAACUCCGUG